rnacentral:rRNA from 1 species
CCUACGGGAGGCAGCAGUGGGGAAUAUUGGACAAUGGGCGAAAGCCUGAUCCAGCCAUGCCGCGUGUGUGAAGAAGGCCUUCGGGUUGUAAAGCACUUUCAGUGGGGAAGAAAGCCUUGGGGCUAAUACCCUCGAGGAAGGACAUCACCCACAGAAGAAGCACCGGCUAACUCCGUGCCAGCAGCCGCGGUAAUACGGAGGGUGCGAGCGUUAAUCGGAAUUACUGGGCGUAAAGCGCGCGUAGGCGGUCUGAUAAGCCGGUUGUGAAAGCCCCGGGCUCAACCUGGGAACGGCAUCCGGAACUGUCAGGCUAGAGUGCAGGAGAGGAAGGUAGAAUUCCCGGUGUAGCAGUGAAAUGCGUAGAGAUCGGGAGGAAUACCAGUGGCGAAGGCGGCCUUCUGGACUGACACUGACGCUGAGGUGCGAAAGCGUGGGUAGCAAACAGGAUUAGAUACCCGUGUAGUC